CUAGAGUUUGAUCCUAGCUCAGGAUGAACGCUGGCGACGUGGAUAAGGCAUGCAAGUCGAGUGGGUUUAGACCCACGGCAGACGAGGUAGUAACACGUAGGAACAUUCCCCAUAGUCGGGCAUAAUCCGGAGAAAUCCGGAAUAAUUCUCGAUGGUCCGAGCACCACUUUUGCUUAUAACGUCAUAUCGCUCAUUGAUGAAAAAUCAGUGAAGACCUGAUGUGAUGAUAUAAGUUGUGAGCAAAAGUGGUGCUCGGUAAAGAUUUAUCGCUAUGGGAUUGGCCUGCGUAGUAUCAGCUUGUUGGUAGUGUAAUGGACUACCAAGGCUAUGACGCUUAGGGGAGGUGAGAGCCUGACCCCCACCGAUGGAACUGAGACACGGUCCAUACUCCUACGGGAGGCCGCAGCCGAGAAUAUUCGACAAUGGGCGAAAGCCUGAUCGAGCGACGUCGCGUGAUUGAUGAAGUCUUUCGGGAUGUAAAGAUCUUUUAUGCGUGAAGAAAUUAUUGACAUUAGCGCAUGAAUAAGGGGCCGCUAAACUCGUGCCAGCAGCGGCGGUAAUACGAGUGCCCCGAGCGUUAUCCGGAAUCAUUGGGCGUAAAGGAUGCGUAGGCGGUUGUGUUAGUCUUUUGUCAAAUCCCGAGGCUCAACCUCGGAUCGGCGAAAGAUACGGCACAACUUGAGGACGCGAGAGGUGCAUAGAACUCACAGUGUAGGGGUGGAAUCCGUUGAUAUUGUGGGGAAUACCAAAUGCGAAGGCAGUGCACUGGCGCGUUCCUGACGCUGAGGCAUGAAAGCGUGGGUAGCGAAUGGGAUUAGAUACCCCAGUAGUCCACGCCCUAAACGAUGAUGACUGGCUUUUCGGAGUAUCGACCCUCUGAGAGGCGAAGCUAACGCGUUAAGUCAUCCGCCUGGGAAGUACGGCCGCAAGGCUAAAACUCAAAGGAAUAGACGGGGGCUCGCACAAGCGGUGGAUUAUGUGGUUUAAUUCGACGAUAAACGAAGAACCUCACCAGGACUAGAAACCAAGCUGCACGCUCCGUGAAAGCGGAGUUCCUUCGAGGGUGCUUGGCAGGUGAUGCAUGGCCGUCGUCAGUUCGUGGCUUGAGCUGUUCCCUUCAGUGGGGUAACGAACGCAACCCUCAUCGUCUGUUAUAAGUGUCAGACGAGACCGCCCAGCCCAAGUAUCGAGAGAUUUUUCUCGUGAUACUCGGGCUGGGAGGAAGGCGGGGAUGACGCCAGGUCAGCAUGUCCCUUGAUGUCCUGGGCUACACACGUAAUACAAUGGCCGAUACAACGGGUCGCGACGGGGUAACCCUGAGCCAAUCCUAAUAAAGUCGGCCCCAGUUCGGAUUGAGGUCUGCAACUCGACCUCAUGAAGUUGGAAUCGCUAGUAAUCGCGGGUCAGCUAUACCGCGGUGAAUAUGUUCCCGAGCCUUGUACUCACCGCCCGUCAAGUCAGGGGAGUCGGGAGUGCCCGAAGUCCCAGC
rnacentral:rRNA from 1 species